GAUGAACGCUGGCGGCGUGCCUAAUACAUGCAAGUCGAGCGAACAGACGAGGAGCUUGCUCCUCUGACGUUAGCGGCGGAAGGGUGAGUAACACGUGGAUAACCUACCUAUAAGACUGGGAGAACUUCGGGAAACCGGAGCUAAUACCGGAUAAUAUAUUGAACCGCAUGGUUCAAUAGUGAAAGACGGUUUUGCUGGCAUUUAUAGAUGGAACCGCGCCGCAUUAGAUAGUUGGUAAGGUAACGGCUUACCAAGGCAACGAUGCGUAGCCGACCUGAGAGGGUGAUCGGCCACACUGGAACUGAGACACGGUCCAUACUCCUACGGGAGGCAGCAGUAGGGAAUCUUCCGCAAUGGGCGAAAGCCUGACGGAGCAACGCCGCGUGAGUGAUGAAGGUCUUCGGAUCGUAAAACUCUGUUAUUAGGGAAGAACAAAUGUGUAAGUAACUAUGCACGUCUUGACGGUACCUAAUCAGAAAGCCACGGCUAACUACGUG
rnacentral:rRNA from 1 species